GGGUUGGUGGAAGGCUGGUUAAACAGUUUGGUUUUCGACCACUACGACCCGGGUUCGAUUCCCGCAUUGAACA